rnacentral:lncRNA from 1 species
UCUCGUUUGACUUAUUUGACCGAACAACCUUCUCAAAAUGCAUGAAUUUUAAAAUUUGAAAAUUAAAAAGACAUACUUAGUUUUGACGAUUGAAUCGUUGCACUCUAACUCAUUGAGUGUGGCAAUUUAUUUCCUCGAAAUGAGUGUCUUAUUAUUCAAAUUUAAACUUUAAAAGGAUCGUGUUUUUAAAAUCUUUUCAAAAUUUCGACACUAAGAUAUUAAAUAAUUAAUUCGGUACCAAUUUUGGGCGUUACGAGGGUGCUAAUCCUUCCUCGUGUGUGAUCGAC